UCCUCUGUAGCUCAGUUGGUAGAGCGUGGCGCUGUCACCGCCGGGGUUGUGGGUUCGUUUCCCACGGGGGGCCAG